AGAGGAUCCGCGAUCGGAAUGAGCGCAGAUCAAAUCCUUCGUAUAUCGAGGAUCGAUUGGAGGGCAAGUCUGGUGCCAGCAGCCGCGGUAAUACCAGCUCCGAAAGCGUAUACUAAAAUUGUUGCGGUUGAAACGCUCGUAGUCUAGCAAGGGGAUCGCGCGGGAGCCGUCCGCGGCGGCGUCCGCGGUCUCGGCCCCGCCGAACCCCUUUCCAUUCCGACGGACCGUCAUACAGGUGCUCUUUAUUGAGCGUCGCGGGCCGUCCGGAGAACCUUCUACCGCGAGAAAACCGGAGUGCUCCAAGCCUGACUCUUGCCGGUCUUUACGACCGACGGCGAUCGAAAGUUCGCGGCACGAUAUCGAUAUGAGCCGCCGCGCGGGUUAAACCGUGUCGGCGGCGGAGACGAACGGAGACCAAGCGAGGGCGCGGGUAUCCCUGCGGCGAAAGGUGAAAUUUUAAGAUCCUAGGGGGACCGGCGGAGGCGAAAGCGUCCGCCAAGUGGGUCCGGUUACGAUCAGGAACUAAAGUCGGAGGACCGAAGGUGAUCAGAUACCACCGUAGUUCCGACCCUAAACGAUGCCGUCCGGAGAUCCGAAGGAGUGCGAGCGAGUAUCCCUUCGGGCCCUCCCACCGGGAAACCCAGAGACGGGCUCCGGGGGGAGUAUGGUCGCAAGACUGAAACUUAAAGGAAUUGACGGAAGGACACCACCAGGAGUGGAGCCUGCGGCUUAAUUCGACUCAACACGGGGAACCUCACCGGGCCCGGACACCGUGAUGACUGACAGACCGAUCGGCUCUUUCUUGAUUCGGUGGGUGGUGGUGCAUGGCCGUUCCUAGCUCGUGGAGCGAUCUGUCUGGUUAAUUCCGACAACGAACGAGACUCCRACCUAUUAACUAGAGCGCGCAUACGAUUUUGUCUACGGCGCCGAAGCCGCUCGGACCCUCCGUCUCGCCCCGCGGUCUCCGGACCGUUGCGGACGGGCGUGAGGCGUUUCGUCGGUAGUAGGUGCGUGCGCGGCCGUCUUCUUAGCGGGAUCGGCGGCUCGAAGCCGUACGAAAAGGAGCAAUAACAGGUCUGUGAUGCCCUUAGAUGUCCCGGGCUGCACGCGCGCGACAUUGAUGGAAUCAGUGCGAUCUCCCGCCUUUUACGAGAGGGCCGGGUAAUCGUAGAAACUCGAUCACCGUCGGGACCGGGGGCUGGAACCGUCCCCCGCGAACGUGGAAUUCCCCGUAGUGGCGUCUCAUCCGAGGUCGCCGCGAAUAAGUCCCUGCCCUUUGUACACACCGCCCGUCGCUACUACCGAUUGAACGAUCGAGCGAGGCCUUCGGACCGGU
rnacentral:rRNA from 1 species